rnacentral:lncRNA from 1 species
AUGCGUGACGCACUCGAGGAUCUGGCCGAAUCCCUGGAACGCGCCCUCGAGCUCGUCACGGAGUGCCAGCGGAAGCACAUCUUUCGCCGCUUCUUGGGAGCAGGGGACAUGGCCAAGGAGCUGGGCCGGGUCCAGGAUGAUAUAGUGAGGAAACUGCAGCUGGGGAACUUCGCCACCAAUGUCCAGACCACCAUCAUGGUGACAAACAUCCAAUCUGCUGGUGGUCCUCCUCCUCCACCCCCACCCCAACGGGAAGUGAUUAUUGAUGGUAAGGAAAAUUUUAUUCUGUGAUCAUUGGUUCAGCUAGCAAUACCGUCUAUUGCAUAGUGUUUUAUUGCAACUUUGCUAGAUCUGUGUAUCAAAGUGAUGUUGCUCCAACAGUUUUCUUAGAUCAACUGCUCCUACAGUUUCAUGCAUGCGUGUUUAGGUAUUAAUAUAAUCUAAUUCAAGCCCUGUUCCUGUGUGGGUUAAUUUUUAUACAAUAUAGGCUUCACAAUGUUCAGUUUAUCUGAAUUGAAAGCCGCUACAGAGAACUUUUCGGAAAGAAACAGGAUUGGAAGUGGUGGCACUGGUGAUGUUUACAAGGUACUCCGAUCCGUUACUUGGUUUGUUAAUUCUAGGUUUGUGUACUUUUCCAUAUAAUCACGUAGGCAGAGGCAGGUUAAGACUAAAUUUGUAACAUUUAGUAUAAAUUUAAAUUUGAAAUUACUUGGUGUCCCAAGGGCAGGGAAUAAACUAAUUGUAUUAUUCUGUACGUGUUCAACCCGCAAUCACGCCUAAACCUAACCCUUGGUUGUAGUGUCCUCCUUUGUGGCAUUUUAGCUUCGACUCAUUACACAGGGAGUUUAGGGAAAGUGUCUUUCGUGCAACUCUAGAUCUACGGUCCCGUGCAUUUUCAGGGAAAGUUGGUUUUCACGUCACUCGUUUCCCUAGUGCAACUCCCAAUUGAAAGCAUCUCAAACCUCAAAGCACACACGUGUGUGGUGCCCAUGCUUCAUUCCAGCCCAAAGACCAAAGUGAGCCAAAGAUGAAACUUGAUGGACUUUGAUGAAGAUUUUGAAGCCUGAGGCCACGGCGCCAUUGAACUUUUGGCGAAACUUUAAUUUAGUGCUAAGAACAGCAGUUCUGCUUUUUCCCUUCUGUUCUUUUAUAAACAAAAAUCCACCAUCUGACAUGGUGUUUAUGCUUCUCAGGGUGUCCUGCAGGACCGACAAGUCAUUGCCAUAAAAAAUUUGCAUGCUAGUGUUGCCGUCAUUGACGACAACCGGCUAUACGAUGAAAUUAAUGUUUUUGUACAUCUGAAGCACAAAAACAUAACUAGACCUCUGGGAUAUUGCCACGAAAUGAGAAUGGUCUUGAUCAGCCAUAAUGGAAAAUAUGUUGGAGCUCAACAAAGAGAAUUUUGUUUUGUAGAAGAAUACAUGGAAAACGGAAGUAUGGAGAAUAUUAUCUAUGGUAUGUUGUUCUGUACAAAUACUGGUUACAGUUCACCUCUGGACCAAGCAUCCCUUAACUUUGAUGUCACUGAUCAAUAGUUGCUUCUCGUUGCAUGAUAUGUGAUCUCUGCAGGGUCCCGAUUUAUUGGUUGGUCCUGCCGCUUCAAAAUGAUUCAGGGGAUAGCCCAGGGGCUACAUUACCUACAUGAGCAACGUGUCGUCCAUAUGGAUCUGAAACCAGCCAACAUCCUCUUCGAUUCUGAUAUGAAUCCUCGGAUCAGUGAUUUUGGCGUAGCUAAAAAGUUGGACCUUGGUGUUGAAAAAACCAGCGAUGACACCAAUAUAGUUGGCACAAUGUAAGACGUUGCUCCAAUAUAUAUAAAUACUAUUUCCAUUACCUGAUUAACUAUAUAUCGUGAGCCCAUACGUGCAUGAAGCUCUUUUCGUUAACUACAAUUUUUACCUUGAGAUCAUGAUUCAUUUUUAUUUUAUUUAAUUACCCAGGCCUUACAUGCCUCCAGAAUACAUUGACCAAGGAACUGUGUCAACGAAGUGCGAUGUGUAUGCUUUUGGCAUCACCCUCCUUGGGACCAUUAUUGGCAGAAUGAGCAUGUCUUCGUCCAGUUAUUCAUGGAAUCCAAUUCAAUGGGUAAGUACCUCGUAGUGACGCCUUUUUACAUUACAAAAGCAGUUGGGACUAAGGUCCUGUUUGGAUCCACCAGCUAAAUUUUAACUAUUAUGGAUCCAAAUAUGACCCAGCUAAAAUUUAGGUAGCUAAAGGUUCUUUUAGCUAGUUGAUCCUAGCUAAACUAGUUAAAGAUAAAAUUGCCCCUCCACCUUCGUCGGAAAAAGUUUCUAAAAUGGGAGGGAAGGGUAGGAUAGACAACUACCUCUUCAACUAUCAUUUAGCUAGUGGAUCCAACACUCCUAGCUAAACUUUAGCUAGCUAAAAGAAUGUUUCUAAAGUUUAGCUAGCUAAAAUUUAGUUGGGUGGAUCCAAACGUGACCUAAUUUAUGUUCUAACUUUCCAGGCUUUUGAAGCUCGGGACGAUUUACGGAUGGAGUUGUUUAAACCGUCAUUGUGUUGCAAGUCUCAGCUAAUGCAGAUCAAGAAGUGCAUGGAGAUUGGGCUCCUGUGUGUUGAGCAAGACAGGGAACAUAGGCCCACCAUGGCGGAUGUGCUUGCGAUGCUAAAUGGUGUGAAAGAGUUGCCAGCUCUAAAGCGGCCAUGGGGCAUCGAGUAGGGCGGAAGCGGCCCUGCAACCUUAUUUGUCCAGAUUGCUUGUGCCUCUAAUUGUCCCUAAAUAAGAAACGUGUGUCUCUAGUGACGUGGCUUGACCAUUUGAAUUACUUUUUACUCCCGUUCUCACUUGUAUUGAAAAAGAAGGCUGGAGGCGUAACACGUCCUUGUCUAGAAUUUGUAUGGUCAGGCCAUUCUUUAAGAUUUCAUACUUAUAUUUUCAAAAUGACAUAUAAUUUUACAACUCCUUCCAAUUCAGACAUUAACUUUAUAAUUGUACCAUCAGCUUAUAGUGGUCCUGCCUAUCCAAUCAACCGUCCCCACCCGUGAGGCAUCCGUCGCGCCCAGGGACAGAGUCAGGAUGAAACAAUUAGGGGGGCCAUUUGCGGUAUCUUAAGCUUAUUUAUGUUGACAAGGUUAUUUACAUGUGGAGUUUCAUCAAAUAUUUUGCCCCUGCCAGCCACCCCCUGUCACGCAUCGCCUCUAGGUUCAAUAAAUGGAUAAUUGGGUCUAUGUUCUAACCUGGAUUAUUGGUUUCUUACAAUGAAGGCUGCAUGCCAUAACAAAUGGUUUAACAAUGAAACUGUCACACCCGGUUUUAAAGGCAAAACCAGAUGACUAUUAUAUGUGUGCUAGGAUCAAGUUUCACACAUACGAUGACUUCAGUAAAUAUCAAAUACAGUGUUAUAGCGUAAAGAGAGAAUUACAUAAAUUAUGUAACCAGAAUUGAGUUAGAAAUCUCUAAUAUAGGCAGCGGAUCUCCAAAAACUCCACAGGCAGCUAACUGGUGGACUCGCCUAGAACUCUUCCAAAAACUUUAGUAAUCUUCAAAACUCUCCGGGUCUGAGCAGCAAUCCGGACGUUGUAGAUGCAAUAUAUAAAACACAAGCGUGAGCACAUGUCGUACUCAGCAAGAGAGAAAUAUAUAUGACAUGCAAGGCUUUAUAUGGUGGAAGGCUGACAAGGUUAAUUACGAUUAGCACUUUUAGUUGGUCAAAUUUUAUUCAUCAUCUAAUUACUAGCAAAUGUAAGUUUAUACCAUCCCGCAAUUAAUAUAGAGCAAUGAUAUACCAUAAGCAUGAACAUAACAUAUAACACAGUAGUAUCAUCUUCAAGUAAAUUAAUCAUGUGAGGGUUCAGGCCGCUCUUAACCGUGAGCACGGCUGUUAUAACAGUUUUACACUCUGCAGAGGUUGUACAUCUUUACCCACAAGUCGCGUAAAAGUUAAGGUGAACUUUAGACCCAACCAUGCUGUGCAAAAGUAGGCACAAUACCACACUUCCGAGGUGUGAUUGCAUAGGGACGCUACGAGGCCUUUACAAAGACUUCCCUAGUGUGUUCCAGUGCACGAGGUUCCGUGAGUCAUGCCCCCCCUUAACACCAGUCCAACACUAGAGUCGUCUAAUUAGUUAGCCAAGACCAGAGCCAUUUAGUCCUUGUGGCUGUACGGUUUUCCUAGGUGGUCGGUCCAUGUUCCUAUUAAAAUAUAUGGUCUUGUAAUUAAAUCAACACAUAGGAACAUUGAGUAAAUAGAUAAAUUAACCAUGUUGUUUAUUUACCAACCCAGUUGAGCAAGCUAAGCAUAAUCUACCCUCAAGAUUAAUUAAACAACCCGGCUGCAAGGUAUGAUCAAGAGAAACUAGGCAUUGUCCUUAAUAGGAACCCAUCAUAUUAAUGCACGCGGUAAAUAAAUAUUGUGAAUCAAUGCAUGUCAAUUAGGUAUAAACGGGAAUGACCAGGGAUACUUGCCUUCCUCAAAGCCCUGCUGCUGCUCAGAGUCUUCAGUCUUCCUCUUCUUUGGAUUCCUCGAACUACGCUUCUUCUAUACGCAUCACACGAGCACAUACAAGCAAACAAAUGCAUUUAAUUAAAAACAGUACACCAAUCAUCAAAAAUAGUACUUAAAAUCAGUACCAAACUAAUCUACUCAUUAAGAUGAACGCAUGAGCGAAAGAAUCACUUAAAACGGAGCUAGAACGAAGAAGUUAUGAGAUAAACAAGGUGGCAGGGACCCAGGCGCAAUUAACCAUAGACGGUAGGGGCUAGCAAGAAAGAUUUGCAAGACACACGUAAAAGUGCUUCCAAAUAACAGAAUUUAUAGGGUUAUAUUUGCAAAAGAUCUCGGGUAGGACUGGAACUUGAGAAUCUAGCCUUUCCCGGGUCCUUUUUGCAAAACCACAAGACACAAACUUUCUGUCAGAAUUUCCGUUUUCUUCGGGGGCUAAUCUGUAAAGCAGCCUUUCUUCAACCUCCCUGUGCACUACCGGCAGCGCUCGCCGGCCGGCCAGCUGCGGAGCUCCGGCGGCUUGGCCAAGACGAAGGGGCGACGGCACGGCCUGCAGGCGGCGGCGGUGCACUGAGCGCAUAGCGCAGGGGCAGGCCGGCGUGCGGCCAGGCGACUUGGAGAAGCUGGCCAUGGAGCACGUACGAACAGGAACGGGAAGAAAGAAGAAAAAAAAGAGAGAAACAAGGGAAAAGCCGAAAACGAAGUCCGAUCUCGCGCAUGAACGGUAAAACGGAACGAGAUCGACGAUACGAACGUAGCGGUGCGCUCACCUUCGGCAGAGGACGAACGGAUUUGCCGGAUCUGCUCGUCGGAGUUUCGUGGGCGGUCCGAGUUUGACUUCAGAUCUACGGAGCUCGGAGAGUCAACUCGGAAAAAGGGUUUUAGAUCUGAAAUUCUCGCGUCGAGAGGAACGCUAUAUAUAUAUAUAUAUAUAUUCUAGGUGGAGGUCGGGAUUUAUUUCCCUUUUUCGAAUUAAUUUCGGAUUUAAAAAUAAUUUCAGAAAAUCCUGAAAUCCUAAUUAAAUCGCGAAAAAUACUCCGAAAGCUUCAAAAAAUUCAGGAUAAUUCUUGGAGAUGAUUUGGGACACACAAAACCCAACCAAAAGACUUGGAGCUCUGAAAAGGAUUUAUAGAAACCUCCAAAAAUUGGAUUAAGCUGAAAGAAAAUAAGAAUAAAUCCUAGAAAAAUCUGAAAAAUUCUCAGAGGAAACUAAAGAUCGCCUAAAUGCAUUUUUAAACCUUUUCACACUCAAAGAAUAAGAAAUGCAACCAGCAUGCAAUGCAACACACUUAAACCUAUGGUGCAUUAAAUUAAUUUAAGAAAAAGAUUUUAAUGCCUAAUAAAUUCACAGAGAAAUCUUAAGGCCUUAAACGAACUCAAACAACUUCUAAAGAGUUUCUAAUUAAUUUUUAUUAAAUUGAAAAUGCUGAAAAUUAGGGUAUUACAGAAACCCAUUUUGUUGGUUAAUGCUUAAAAAACACAGAUUGAGUGACUUGCUCUGCCGCGUACUGGAAAAAUGCAUCCUUCAUUUUCAGCUGAGUACUCAUCACGUCUAAAACUCUGAAUGUAGUAUACUCAACACACGUAAUGCUGUGAUCAGAAUACUGUCACAUCCUGAAAUUUUCGAAUUUCAAGACGUGAAUAAAAGGAAUAAUUAAACAAUGAUUUUUCUCCUAAUUUUAAAAUUUUCCCAACAUUUAUUUUUCUUUACAGAGAAUUUAAUAUAGGAAAAAUAAUUAUUUACUUUUCUAAAUUAAUUAAUGUUGUUCUGUGUCUGUGCAUUCAUGCCGAUGCAUCUUGGUGUUUCUUGAGUGCAAAAAUUUUUAAAAUACGUUUAGACGUUGCCUAGACCCUUUUGCGAAUUUUCCAUCUUUUUUUGAAAUUUAUUCUCCUUCCUAGAGCUAAAUCUAAUUUUUGGAAGGUUCUAAAAUCUUUUUCACGAGCUCCAAGUAUUUUAUUUGGAUUGAUCAUGUCCCAAUCUAUCUCCAGGAUUUUUCCUGGAAUUUUUGGGAUUUUUGGAGUAUUUUUCGUGAAUUAUCUGGAACUUCUAGAAUUUUCACGAAAAAAUACCCCAUCCUAUCCUUCUGGGCCGAGCCCGUGGGCCCGACCCGUUCUGGCCCGCCCAGCCAUCGGACCGGCCAGGCCCAUCUAUGCCCGGCAGCCAGGCGGACUGCGCCGCCGUCGCCAUUCCCUCGGCGUGCGUGUGCCCAUAGGGCUCCGCGCCUAUAAAAGCGAGCCCGAGCCCCUGGCGCCGCCUCCCUGCUGCAGCCCGCCGCCUUCUUCGCGUCGCGCCGCCGCGCUGGUGCGUCGCCAUUGCCUGCCGGCCGAGCAGCUACCGCCGCCAGUUUUCGCUCGAUUCGCCGCCUCCUCCACCCAUCGGACGAAGCCGGCGACUCAGGAGCUUCAGAACAUCGCCCCGCACAUCGGCCGCCUCUUCCCAUCGUCAUCUCGACACCGGAGCACCGCCGCCGCGGGGAAGCUCGAGCCGGCCAUCGUCCUGCCACCACCGACCGGAUUCUGGCCGCCUUCGUCUAUCUCCGCCACCGAUGAGCGCACCUCCGAGCUCGUCGUCACAUCCUCUCUCGGUUCCCAUCCUCGCCGUGGCCACCGGCUCGCUGGAGCGCCAGCAAGCCGGCUGGCCGAAGCACUGUUGACAGGAAGAAGAAGGCUGUCCAUUUUGCGUUCAAGCCCCUGGAGAACCCUGUAAUGUUUUCCUCUUUUCUUUGUGUCUUGGCAAACUAGCAGAUAACCCCCUGGAUCUAUUAGUUUCCCUAGAUCCCUCCAACCUCGUUUAACCCAUAAAUUCUACGUUUUAGCUCCGUUUUAAUCCGUUCAUAUUGCGUUAGGUUCAUGAUGGCAUAAAGUGCACGUUAGUGGUAAUGUUUGCCUUCACACCUAUUUUUAAAAAUAAAUUUGAUAUUAAAUUGAUUAAUGCCUGAUAAACGAGUUCUUUUCUAAAUAAAAUCUAUUUAGUGUUAUACAUCGUUUUUCAUAAGAAGUGUUCAAUUGAUUAAAUGUCUACUUCGUAACCUUUCUAAAUAAAAGUUAAUUAGGUUAUAUAUCGGUUUUUUAUAAAACAAAAGUUAAUUUGAUUAACGGCUAUCUAAAUAAUUCUUCCAAUUAAAAGCCAAUCAGAGAUAUACCUCAAUGUUUCAUAAAUUAAAUUCAAUUUGAUUAAUGUUUAUUCAAUUUGAUUUCUAAAUAAAAGCUACGUACAUUAUAACUCGAGUUUUCAUAAUUAAAUGUUAAUUCAACUAAUAUGAAUAUAAAUGUGUUUCUAAAAUAAUCUGCUAGUUAAACUCGAAAUAUAAAGCUAUGCGCUUAGAUGUUUACAUGUAAUUUAUUUUUAAAUUAAAUAAUUAAUUUGCAUAAAUUGUACUUAAAUAUUUAUAAAUAAAAUUGGACUAAGUUUUACAUCAUCUUUUCUUAUGAAAAUAUAAAUAUGACUUGAUUAAUUGUAACUAAGGAUAUUUCUCUGAAAUAUCUUUACAUUGUUUUUCUCAACUAAAAUAAAUGAAGCUUGUAGCUCUCACCUUUUUUAAAAAUUCAAAUAUCUCAAUAGCUUUAUCUUUUCAACCAUAGUUCCGUUCUCAGCAUUUCCUAUGUUUGCGUGCAUCCUAGAAACGAGUCCUAUCCUUUAGUACGCUCUUUUAAAGCCUGUCUUUUAUUUUAGUGUAUUGUUCUUAGUUGUACUUGUUUGUUGCUUGUAUGUUUGUGCCGAUGUUCGCUCCGAGUAGAAGGAUCGCCAUUCGGAAGUUUUGAAGAGUAAGAGUUUCAAGAAAGCAAGAAGCCGAAGAGCAUAGCAGUAAGAGUAACUUUUCGUUGGAGAAAGGCAAGUGUCCCUAACCAUCCUUCUACCUAUGCUUUGUUAAUAAUAUCAUGAUAAUGUUAAUUGGAACAUGGAGCGACCACCCAGGAAAAUAGUGCUACCACAAGAUUAAAUGGCUCUGGCCUUGGCUGAAUAAUUAGAAACUCUAAUCUGGGGUAAUCUUACCAAAAGGGCAAGAGGGGAGGCGUUGAUGGGGUAUAACACUCGCUCUAUUGGGAAGUGGGCUUUGCUAAGACACUGUACCCACUAAGGGACUGUUAUGCUCUGCUUCGGCCUGAAACCUUAGCGGGUUACCACUUACUAGCAAAUCUUUGUAAAGGCCUCGUAGCGUCCCUAUGCAAUCACACCUCGGGAGUGUGGUAUGGUGCCUAGCUAGCACCGCAUGGUUAGAUCCAAAGUUCUUUGAACUUUUACGCGACUUGUGGGUAAAGAUGUGCAACCUCUGCAGAGUGUAAAACUGAUCGAUCAGCCGUGCUCACGGUCAAGAGCGGCCUGGACCAUCACAUGAUUAACUAGACUUGAAGAUGGACUUAAAUCGUUAUUCUGGUUAAUUCUAGUGGUCUUGCUGAGUACCAACCAUAAGUGUACUUACUCUUGCUUACUACUGCUUAGAAGAAGAAGGUGUGUGAAGUAUUCUGAAGAUGAUGCUGAGUUCUAGGCGUACGCAACCCCCAGUCGAUUGCCUGUGGAGUUUGGAGCCUCCAUUUCCAGUAUUUAAGCUAUGUAUCUCUGAUGGUUUCGUAAGUCUUUAUUUGUAUCUUUUAUGUGAUACUGUUGCUGUUAUUCACUUAUGAUGUCACUAAACGUAUGAAAUUUGAUCCUAGCAUACAUAUAAGUAGCACUUGGUUUUGUUUUAAAACCGGGUAUGACAAAUACACUCAACACACAUAGUAUUGUGAUUAGAAUAUACAAUCCUGACAGAGUAAUUAAGAAUGGUAUAAAUUUGAAAACACGGAAUCCUACCACAGUGCUGAGCGAUAUUGUUCCACCGUGUCAGGGUUUAUCCUUGGCUCAGUGAUCAUCUGUAUCCACAGCACAAGGUGCCCUACAUAAUCAUUCGUCCCAAUUUGUUCAGUGGUGCAAAUGGUAUUUCCUUCCUCUGGCUUACACUCUACACAGAUGCAGAACGAAAUUUGAAUUAGCUUCAAAUAGAAAUUAGGAGAAAAACAGAAUAAAGGUAAAGAAUGAUGCCUGAAACUUUACUAUUCUUAGAAUGACAUCAUCUUAGAAGAACAAUCUGCUUUUGUCCCUAGUCGGCUGAUCACCGAUAACGUGCUGAUUGCUUAUGAGUGUAUUCACUACCUGAAGAGAAAGAAGGGCAAAAUCGGCGGUCAAGCUUGAUAUGGCGAAGGCACAUGACCAGGUCGAGUGGCCGUAUCUCGGAAGUAUCAUGCUCAGUGAAGCUCUCUGUGAGGGCAUGUGCGGUCAAACUCCAGGAGGGAUUGGUUUUCGGGAUAUAAAGUAGUUUAACAUUGGUAUGCUCGGCACACAAGAAUGGCGGCUGAUGACAAGUCCGGACUCUCUUUGUACAAGGGUCCUGAAAGGCAAAUACUUCCACGCUGGUGUGAAACAUGUGGUGCGCGGGACGAGACAACCUUCGAUGCUCUGACGGAGUGUACGUAUAUAUGCUCGGAGCUUCUGGUCAAAGCUGAGAGAACUGACAGGUACCGUGUAAAACUCCCUGAACUUAACCCAACAACUUGAGCGGGGGACAUACUGAAGGACCAUAUAUCUGAAGAAUAUGACCGAGGAGUCAAAAAUGCAGUGACAUGUGAGCAUUCGAACAACAUAUAGUCGGUCAUUAUCAUACAGUGGACACUUAACAGGAACCGGCAAAAAUGAAUCAUGAAUGAUAGGUCCAAUGCAUGCAGAACUGUGUGCCAAAGUCUGAAUAUUCUGUUCUGUCCGGCAGUGCUAAUCAGAAACUAAGCUCUGUACAAAGCAGGACAUUCUGGACGGUGUAAAUAGGUAGAAACCACGAGUAUGGACAGAUGUAGCUUCAGGCAAGCAGCAAGCAUCAAACGCCCUGAAAAAUUGCUGGAUUCUUAUCUUGCUAUUGUGGAACUUGGAAUCUGAACAUUCAGAUGUCUAAAGAUUAAACGAUGAGACGAAACGGUUUAAGACUAGCAUUAGGAAAUAAACUUUGUUUUUAGACAAUGAGAUAGCUUUUGAAUAGCAUCAAUCUGAAGGAUUGCAGCAUGCUAGCAGUUGCAGACACUGGAACUUUUGUAAUUCUCAUGAAACAGAAUGUAAACUUUAGUUUUGAAUAGCACAUCCAACAGCCUGAAUGGAAAACAAACAGGCACCUGAGAGUUGGUCAAGUGAUAACUAUGAUUCCGAAACAUAAAGUUUCGACAUGCCUAAUUUGUUACCAAGGAAGAACGACUGACGGCCGGCCAACCAUGCUUUUGGUAAUGAAAUAAUGUUCAAAUGAACUGUACAAGCACUAAUCUGAUACAGAACUAUGAGAGAAACUGUAAGCACACUAGAUAUUCAAAUCGUUAGGUCGAGGGUCGAGAAUUCAGCAAUGCUGAAGUUGUCAGGACUAAUUUUUUUUCUAGAAUACGCAGGAGAGCUGCAUAUCAUUCAAUUAAGAGGAAAAAAUAGAUGUUUAGUUGCAACACGGAUCAUUCACCAGGCGCACGCACACGGAUUUGAGUUGAUAAUGAUUACAUUAUUAAACAUACACUCCACCUAUCUGUUAGCAACUCCAAAUUGUUCACCUAGGUGCUAUGAGACACCCGCUUCGAAGUUCCAGCCAGCCAUCGCCAGGCAUCGUGCUCCUGCAGCAAACCAGUUUGCUGCUUCCUCCUGUAUCACGGCGAGGAGUUGUCAGGACUAAUUGCUCUCCAUUAUGCUAAUACAUAGUACAGUAGUCAUCACUGCUGCUCCAAACUAUCUAUAGCGAUCAGAAAUGUUUCCAGCCCAAGGGCAUCUGCACUUGAACAAUCAUCAGAAAGGUGAACCAUUUUGCAAUGCAAGCGAUCAGAAAUGUUUCCACCGAACUCGUUGCUUUUGAUUCAUCGCCGUACUGUUGGCUGGAUUGCCUCCAGAUGGUUGCACAAGAGCUAGAGAGUCGCCCAUGGUUGACGCCUGCUGCAGGGGCGGAGAGGUCGGUCUGAAGAAGGGAGGAGACGGCCGGAUGGUACGGCCAGAUUGCGGCGGAAGAAGUUUUCCGGACGAUUCAGGUCGCUAGACUCGGACGCCGCCGCCUCAGUAGGAACAGAGGGGUGCUGAAGAGCGCCGGCGGUGGUAGAUCCCAGGCGGGUGCCGCGACGGGUAUAGCGGAGGUCGCCGGACGUGAGCGGAGGAAGGAGUCAGGCUGCUCAGAGGAGGAAGGAGUGAGCGGAGGUGAGAGCCGAGGCGGCCGAUGGUUGAGUUGUGAGCGGAGGCCGGGGGCGGAGGCGCGGCCGUGGGGAGCCGCCUUCUCUCAGGACCUCCCACCACCGGUGAGGCAUCGCCAACUUGAUUUGGUGCCCGCCUCUGGCGCAGGCAAAUGAGAAAAUUGCAAUUUUAGGAUUCCAAACAACGCGCUUCGCUAUUUUAGGACUCCUAUCGUCGACUUCGCUAAAAUGACCCUCAAAACGUUGGCACUUCGUUAUACAUGACAUUUGCUCAUUUAAAACACUUUUCUCAAAUAAAAUACAUGUAUUUUAGCAUUAGAGGACCAUAUUGCCCUCAGCUCUUUUUUCCUGGACGUGGGAUGGUGCUGCUGGCCGCUCGCCUGGCCUGGCUGGCCGGCCGCGCCUGGGCUGGCUUGCCGCCGCCUGGCCAUGGCUGGUUGUCGCCGCGCCUAGGCUGCUGGCCGCCGCUUGGCCAUGGCUAAUCGUGGCUUGAGCUAGCUGGCCGCCAUGUACAGUUUAAUAUGUAAUAUAAAUUAUCAAAGAUGAUCCAUACAUAAUUAUAAAAUCAUGAAUUAGCACAAACGAGCUCAUCUCAUAAAACCAUGAUUGUAGCAAGUUCAUCUCAAAAGACCAUAAUUUAGUUCCAAACGAGAUCCAAAUCAUAUGAAAUAAAGCAUGAGUUUACAUCUCAUCACAACUAAAAUAAUUUAUCCAAUGUGUAGCUUUCUCUUUGGAGUCAUCUUUUUUGGUGCUGUCGCGGUAGGCAUCCUUACGGGACUAGUAGUGUCGGUUUGUGAAGAUGUACCCUCUCCUAAUAACAUCGCAAGCUUGCUGCACAUAAAUACUAUAUGACAAUUAUAUGUAUGGAAAAAUUAAUGUACAGUAAAUGUGUUAAUAUUUCUUACCUUCUUGUGACCCUUCCUGGACUAUCCCGUAGGAUUUCUUCUCUAGUCGGCCUUCGUGGGGUGCUAGGUUCUGCUGGCGCAGCUUUUGUAACAUUCUUCCUAGGUUGCCUACGCUUCCUACAAGUAAUCAAAUAAAUUUAUAUUAACAUUUUCAUUUAAGUUUCUUGAUAAAGAAAAUCAGUUCUUACCUCUUUUUUCUAUCCCAUUUAGUGGGCACUUAGCACUAGCUUGCCUGUGACCUUUUUGUCCGCAUUUUUUGCAAGUCAUAGGUCCUCUGAUCAUCUUCUUUCCCUUUCCAUUUGUUAGAGCAAUAUCGUUGUCACAUCCCUUCUCACCUUCACCCUUGUUGGUAAAUUCACCACCUUUCUUCUUGUGGCCACCUUCCAUCCAUCCCUUCCUUCUUAGUUUCCUUCGUCUUCCAAUAGGUAAUUUAGCAAGAGGUGCACCAACUAAAAAUGGUAGGUCAACCUGUGGCCACUGUGUUUUGUCUGUCAUCGGCUCAAUCUCUCUUCCAUAAGCAGCCCUAAAUCUAUUGACCGAGUAGUACUCAUGCACAAACUGUUCAAGGUCAACUCCCCGUUGGCGGGUUACAUAAGCCAAUACAUGUUGACAUGGCUUACCAGUGUGCUGCCAUUCAAGACAUGUACAAGUCCUUUGGUAUAACUUAACAAUAUGCCUCUCUACUCUGCUGCUAUGUUCCCACACCUCUGCACUCCAAUUAGAACAUGGUACAAUUUUUAAAUAUCCCAAGCCUCUAGUAUUUGCCUUUAGCUGAUGCAUAAUAGCUGGAAGUAUCCUGCCUUCAGGUAGCCUGUAUGCAAUAUUUCUUCUCUUGUUCCACUUUACCAUGAUCAUUUCUCUAAUCUUAUCAGCUAGGUCAGCAACAGGCAAGUCUUUAUGGUCUCUAAUCCAGUUAUUAAAUGACUCAGCAACAUUACUAGUUAUGUAGUCACACUUUAUUUCUGGAUUGAAACCACACCUAUAUCAUAAUAGCUUAUGAUUGGUCUGUAACCAUUUCACUGCUUCUGAUGAUUCCUUCAUCAUUGAUGCUAUAUUUUCAUAGAAUAUGUCUUCUCUGUAAGCCCUUGCCGCAGGAUAUAUCUGGCCAAACCCUCUAUAUCUAUUCGAGAAAUUUUUGACAAGAUGAUAAAAGCAUUCUCUUUGCUCUGCAUUUGGGAAUACUUUCUUCACUGCAUUCUCCAAGCCCUUACAAGCAUUAGAACAAAUAGCAAGGAGUGAAUGGUCACCUAUAGCCUUCUUUAAUUGUUCCAUGAACCAAAUCCAGUUGUCUGUUGUUUCCGAAGCUAUGAAGCCAUAAGCGAGUGGAUACAUCCAAUUGUGACCAUCAACUGCUGUAGCUGCCGCCAAUUGACCAUUCCACCUUCCAUUAAGUGUUGUAGCAUCUAUGCUCAAAUGAGGCCUACAACCUUCCAAGAAACCAUCAAUGCAUGGUUUAAGCGCACAGAAAAAACGGUGGAAAUAUACUUGACCAUCCACCUGAAGUACCUCAAUCUCAACGACACUCCCGGGACACCGCUUCAUUACCUCGGCCUUCCACCUAAACAAGAGCUCAAAACUCUCUUCCAUUUGCCAUAAACCUCUUCAAGAGCUCUUUCUUUACCCCGCCAUACAAUGUCAUAUGCAAUUUGACACUUGUGAUCUGUCUGCAACUUCUUUUGCAAUUCCUUAGCACCAAUAUUUGGAUCAUCUCUAAGGAUACUCACAGCCUUGCUAGCUACCCACUUCAGACUUGGAGUUGUAGUUAUCUGCCUCAUGCUAGAUACACAUGUAUGCUUAUCGACUAAGACGGUUACCUGCAAAAAAAAAAGCAAUGAGAUUCAUAUUAAUUUACAUAAAAAGAAGAAUUAAUGAAAGAAAAAAAAUUAUUCACCUCCACAGUGCUUUGGCCUUUAUGUUUGGUGCCAUUUAUCCUCCAAGGGUAAGGGCAAUCUUCAACACCGGACUUGCAAAAAGCCCUAUAUCUCAUCUUACAUGACUUCUCAGUUCCUAAAUCAAACUCCUUAUUGAUUGCAAAUUGCCGCACUGCCAACUUGAACUCCUCCAUUGUUGGGUACACUGUUCCUAAAUCCAUUGAUGGGUUGUUCUUGUCAUAUGAAAUGACCAUCUCACCCGGUAUCUCAUCACUAGUAGGAAUGGCAGCACCACCAUUAUUUUGCCCAAGCUCAUCAUCAUGCUCUUGCUCAUCCAUUGGGCAAUCAAAGCCUUGUGCAGGUAUAUUUGUUGUGUUCUCCUCUGUCAAACCUAAAAGCUCUCAAAUCUGCGACUCACUCAUAAGUGCAAUACGACCUUCAUCAUCAUGUGUCUCCACUAUUUGUAUGUUAUCCCAAUCAAUUCUUUUCAUAUUUUCCACUUGGGGCCUAAAACAAUGAAUUCAUGUUUUACUACUGUCUACUACUACCGUGGUAAAAAAAACAGAAAUAUAGUGCAGCCGAUACCUUUGCACUUCAAGAACAGGAAUGUUGCACUCUAUUGCCGAAUGAGGAGCAGUGACCAGGGCACUAGGCGUCCCUAUCAUGGCCCCUGGCGGCGCGGGAUGGGCAGUCGCUGCCACAGCUAGGGCACCCGACGCCAUGGCCAUGGCCCCAGGCGGCGCGGCCAGGGCAUCCGCUGCCGCGGCUACGGCACCCGGCGCUACGGCCAUGGCCCCAGGCGGCGCGGGUAGGGUAGCCGCCGCCGCGGCUACGGCACCCAGUGCCGCGGUCAUGACCUCAGGCGGCGGUUCUCCAUCCAUGGUGGAUGCCAGGACCUUCGAUGCAACGAACGGCGGCAUCCGGGGCGAAGAACACAGGCGUCCGGGGCGAGGAACGACGACGUCCGGGGCGACCAACGGCGGCGCGUCGCGAUCUCCCAUCACGAGGGAUAGGUAGGCUGACGAACGGCGGCACGUCGCGAUCUCCCGUCGCGAGGGUAGGGUGACGAACGGUGGCGCACGAUCUUUUCUUGCGAUAGAAAUAGAAACGGAACAGCAGAAACAGGCAGGGCAGGCCACGUCCAGGAAAAAAGACCUGACAGAAACAGGGCAGGGCAGGCCACGUCCACGUCAAGGAAAAAAGAGCUGAGGGCAAUAUGGUCCUCUAAUGCCAAAAUACAUGUAUUUCAUUUGGGAAAAGUGUUUUAAAUGAGCAAAUGUCAUGUAUAACGAAGUGCCAACGUUUUAAGGGUCAUUUUAGCGAAGUUGACGAUAGGAGUCCUAAAAUAGCGAAGCGCGUUGUUUGGAGUCCUAAAAUUGCAAUUUUCUCCAGGCAACCAUGGGAGGCACCGGGCGACCUACAAACCCUGGAGGAUUCGAUUCCCGACCCGCCGCUCUCUGCCGGUUGCCGCAUGCCUGCACUUGACUAACGACAGGGAUGGGACUGGGAGAGGAUAAGGAACGGGGAGAAAUAAAAACAAGCCACGCUUGCGCUGUACAGGGAUGGAAUUGGGACUUUGGGCCUCUAGCCGAAUGGCUGAGCUGUACAGCCGUCGAAGAAGCUUAAGUGUGCAGGCCCAACAAUCACGAUCCUAAGAGGUAACUCCAAAAGACCGCUAACCUUAGAGCAACUUCAAGAAUCUCAAAAAAUUCUUCCCCAAAAUGAGGUAUCAGAGGUUAUGCUAAAUUUUUUCCCCCCAAAACAUAUGAGACCACAGUAGAACGCUAGAAACUACUCCCUAAUAUUUACCAUGUCAUCGUAAUUGGGCCUACCUCUAGCUAAUGUAUAUUCAUAUGUAAACCAGGUCCAUUGCCAUCAUUAUUCUCCUGGGCAGACAUAGAUGGACAUGCAGACAUGGCAUCAUCAGGGAAGUAACCGCAGAUUCUGAUGGACUGUUCGUCAUCAUUGGUACAGUAUUCCAUGUAAUUUACGCUGCAGCUAGCCACUGCGCACUCGUUCUCUUCUCUUAUGUGCAAAGGUAUUUAAGAGAAAGGAAGAACUUUGCAAUCUGGUUUUCUCUUGGUAUUGUUGCUCUUGGCAAGGUCAUUGCAUCUGCCACUUAAAGGCCUACAAAAGCGACCGCCACCAAUGUCAUUCCUAGCAGACAUCUUCAGAGGCAACACAUUCUUGUUACCUACCAAACUUCAUAUGCAGCUACUUUCUGUUUCUUGCCUGUUCUUCUAACUAAAUCGCUAGGUGGCAUCGUACUUGCUUCUAGUUUUCUCUUCACAGUUCUAGCACUGGUGGAAGCACAAACAUUGGCCGCUUUCCUCUUAGUAUUGUGAUCAUCAUCUUCAUAAGCUCGAUGAUCCCUGCUCCAUCACAAAUUUUGAGUGAUGAGAGGAGUGAUUAACAAGUCGGACCGGUUUACUCAGCUCAGAGACCUGAAAAGGGGAAUGAUGUUGUUGAAUUAAUUUCUGAAAGGCAAAAAGUGAAAAUUACACUGGUAAUGAGAAGAUAGUAUUGCGAUGUGUUAUGGCAGAUACUGUGAUACAAAAGUCAAGCAAGUACUCAUGAUGAGAGGUACAACCAAUUCAUCACUGCUCACCUCUUGUAUCACAAAAUUAUUAUGGUAACAAAUGUUCAGUCUAACAUAAGUGGAAGAUUUGAAAAAUAUUCAAAUUUCAAGUUUCAACAAGUCUUAUUGCUUGACAGUAGAUGGAACUAAACCGUACAAUGCGGAAUAUGCUGAAAUAUCUAUCUGAACUUUGUCCAAGGUCAUCAUCCUCACUAUUACUCACUGUCUUCUCUGUUGCUAUCUUGAUUGGUUGAAGCACCACCAUGGCAAAAUAAGCUACACACAUCAGGACAUCAUGUCAGUGUUCUGCUGUCCUGGACGCAGCAGCUGCAUUCUGUUGGUUUCAGCAGCUAGCUAGAUAGCUGCAGCCUGCAGGAUGUAGGCUGGAACAAUCAUGAGCUGAUGGGCGUGGUGACCCCACGCUACCGAUUCCUCUGGCGCUUUGCUGCUGCGGCGGCGGCGGUCGGGAAGCAGCGGACGGCGCUGUCCGGGGAGCAGAUGUCCGGUACGAAGGCGGUGCUGUCGAGGCCGCCGCCGUGUUGCCAGUGGAGCCCGGAGGCCGUCGGCGGGGAGGGGAGCUCCGGCACCGACAACUGGAUCUCAGGCACCUGGCCGAACAGCUCGUUGGCGUCCCGGUUCUCCUCCGACGAGCGGUAGUACGGCGAGCCCCCCGCGCUGCCGCCGCGCCUUAGCCCUGCCGGACAGGCGCGAAAGCCGAGCUCUCCUCCGACGAGCGGUAGUACGGCUUUACCAUGCUCUCAUUUACUACUAGCAGUGAUGGAAACCGAUUGAUUGUCUGCAGGUCAUUGCCUGCUUGAGCUCUCUUCCGAUGAGGUACUGAUGACAACGACUCACCCAAUAGCCAGCUCGCUUAUAAAAUUCAGAAACGCUUACACCCUGUCCAAUUAUUGCGCACUGCUAAUCACAACACGCCCUGCUGUCGAUAUCGACCAGUUGGUUCAGGUCAACUCGAUCUCGAUCUGUGCUUCCAAUACGUCCCAUCCCAUGUGCAUAUAGCCAUAUAUGCAUCCACCUCCUUUCCCUUCCAGCUGGAUGCUGCUGCUUGUCUUCACUGCAUUUCUUUGCUUGACUGAACGAGCUGGUCGUUGGUAAACCAAAAAAGAUAUCCUAUGAUUAUGUUUGCCAAAACAAAAAUAACCUAGGAUGACCACUCUUUUUCAGGAUCAUUUGAAGUGUUAAUUUGCAUGUAUUAGUCGCAGAAAAUUUUAAUUUCUCAUAUAGUAGCUAGAGCUAUUAUGUUGUAGUUGUAGCAUCGCACCAUCAUAUCUGCAGCCAAAGUUAAGCAGGGCCAUUUUUUCAUGCAUGUGCCCUAUGAGACCUUACUAAUAUGUCAUUAGCAUCGCACCAUCAUAUCUGCUGAACAUUCACAUCAAUCUGCUUUGUUUUUCCUUCUUCUCUUUGUUUUUAUUUCAAAACUGCUGUCACAGUCUGACAGCCUUACUAAUAUGUCAUUAGCACGUGUCUUCACUGAUUCCUUCUUCGACUAACGAGAUAUAUUGUUUCUGUAUAGUGUGUGGAUCGAGCAAUUAUGUAUUGACAACUUGUUCAGAACGGAGCAGACUUCGCGGUGCUGACCGAGCGGAUAGCUAGAAGACCAGGCAGGCAUCGCUUCCUCUCUGUGCCUGCUCAAAGGAGAAAGAGGUGUGAAGCGAAGGCAAAGAGGAAAUAAGAUCAGUGCCUGCUUGACUACUUAUUUUGAUUCUUAUGAUGAAAAAUAUGAGAAUACGAGAAUGGUUUGUCCAUAUCAUCAGCUCAUAAGAUCAGCAUCUGAUGCCUUUCCUUCUCAUGCGGACGAGGGCUCCAUCAGGGAAGCCAUGCCAGCGAUUAUGCCCAUGAGGUGGCGUGGAACCUGGCCCAUCUCAGAUGAGCGCAAGGUGUUCGUGGGAAUGUUUCUCAAGUCGCCUCUCUUGCCUAGCUCGGUCUCAUUGGAAAUCUGAACUGACAAGGAUCAUGCGCGUUCCCAAUUUGCCAUGCUGAGGUGCUGUACACUCUGGAACAGGCUUGCAUCUACUAGCUAUUCCAGAGUCUCCAGUAGGAUUUUUCUGGUGCUGCACCCGUUGAGUUAGAUCCAAAUUCAGUUAUGCAGAGAUAAAAGACUAACUUCGGAUGGAGCGAAGCGAGGCCCGUCACCGGAGGUUUCAACUCUUUAUAUACUUCAUGUAAGCCGCCGGUUUGGGAUGAGUCGAAAGGUUGUAAAUCCCCGGUGUUGGUAACCUCACCCGAUAUAGUGAAGAUUUGCUGGCUGGCGCUCGUGGUUUUUUCUCUUCCUCCUUGGAAGGGUUUUCCAUGUUAAAUCUCGUGUCUCCUGUGUUGGAUCUGCUGCUCUUCAUCGUUUAUAUUGCCUAUCGCUUCUAACAGCACCGGACCCCAUUGCUCUGUCUAAGGUAAAUUCUUAUGCGCCAUCUCUGCUUUUGUUCGUCUCCGUUUCUGCAGAUGUAGAUUGCUUGAUCGACAAGAAUACCAUAUGCACGCACCACUGAACAAAUUGGGACUGCGGUCUUAUGGUCAUGUAUAUGCACAUGGCACAAGUGUACCACCAGCCUGCAGGCAGCUUGUUCAAUGGGUCCUAGAUGAUCAUUGAGCCAAGGCUAAACCGAGACGGUGGCAGAAUAUUGUUUUUUUUUAUGAGAGUGGCACAAUAUAGUUCAGGUCUGUGAUAUGACAGCUGUGUUUUCAAAUUCAAAUCAUUCUUAUAUUCUAAUCAGAACACUAUAUAUGUACGCUGACAGUCUUGCAUUCAGACGUGAUGGGUAGUCCGCUGAAAAUGAAGGAAGGGUGAAUUUUCUGGUACGCGGCAGCAAGACACCUCAUCUGUGCUUUUUGAACAUGAGAACCAACAAAAUGGGUUCCAUUGUUAAUCCAUUUUUCUACGGCAUGUCGCCUUCAGUGUGAGGAACCAAUAAUCCAGGUUCAAACACAAGGAACUAAUUUUCCAUCUCAUUUUACCUAGUGGUAGUUGAAAUAUCAAGAUCGAGCUCAUCAGAAAUGCUGCACGCCAGAAAAUAGAAUACCUAAUGCUUCAAUGUUUCUGUUGGACUGGAAACCAGCAACAGGCAGGUCUUUAUUUUUAAAAUUAAGACCUGGAGCUAGACGUUAACUAUGGCCAGCCUUUUUUUUAUGGAUCCUCAACUUCUCAUAAUACAGCAUGCAUUAGUUGGAACUCUGGAGAGUCAGGCUCUUACAUCCUCGGUGGGCUAUUUCAAGGCGUGCCUGAGCAGAUUGAAGGAUUGUCAAAGUAAAGCUAAGGACUGUCAUAAUAGGGGAGAAAGGUUAGUCAUCUUACGUUCUUACUCGAGUGUAUGUAUGCCCAUUUCCUGUUCCUUGAUCAUCAUAUCUUAGUAGUUCUGAUGAUACACAUACCAUGCUCUGUCGGUAAGAAGGUGAGAGAUGGCGCUAUGCGGGAUGGUUGCCAACAUAACACAGCUCCUAGGGGUGGACUUAUUUGGGCUGAUCAGCAUGAUCGAGAAGGCUGCGCAGACGGUAAGCCAGAAUGAGGAGGCGUGCAGACGGAUCACUGACCGUGCAUCGAUGAUCAAGAAUCGGCUGGAACAGUUACAGCAAGUCUCAAGAUCCUUCGAGCACCUGGAGAUGUGGAAGCCGAUGAAGGGGCUGAAGAGCACCCUCCGCAGAGCAUACCGGCUCAUCAUAGGCUAUCAGCAUAGCAGCUACAUGUACAAGUUCUGCUGUGGAUCUGAUCUCGCCAAGGAGUUUGAGUCAGUGCAGAAGGAUAUGGAUCUCUGGAAUCAGCAUCUGACUGAUUUGAAAAUGGACAUCCAGUUCGAACUCACAGUUGUUGACACGGGGAGCUUGCAUGGAAAAAGGAACAUCAUCAAGCAGGUAAAUGUACAAUGACUACUGUAAUCUCACCUCAAUUUGUCAAGUAGUGUUAGUGUAGCACAGUUUUGUGGUUAAAACGAAAAAAAGGAAAAAUUCAACUGUCCGUGAUUUAUCAUUGUUCAUUCUCACCAGUACUGUAUUAACAACAUGAUAUUUGUUGAUUAUCCCUAUUUUCUUGUUUUAGGAUGGUGCUCAUUUACCUCCUGCUGGGUCGCCAGCUAGUCAUUUGAACAACAAUGACAGGUGCAAUGUUGCAACAUUUCAUCUUUACUUCUUCAAGAAUUUAUAAAGAGUUCAUAUCAUAUUUCUUUUAAAUGCCUGGCGACGAUGAUAGGGGAAAACUGGUUGGCGAUUUAGGACAGUUUCAAUUGCUUGCAGAUCCAUCAGGUACUUCUGUUUUAGGCAUUCAUACUGCAUAUCAGAGUCUUAAUUAUAUGAUCUUAUUAUCUCGAUAUGAUAUUUAUUAUUAGCUUUCAAGCUUUUGUACAUUAACUGCACUAAGACUAAGAUAACAUUUUCUGCAUGCUUCAAGAUAUUGUUGAAGAUUUUACAAUAAAGAGCCAAAUAUCAAGGUGCUGCUGUUGGUGUCCCAACAUCAGCUACAAAGGAACAGGUAUGAGCUAGACAUUAAAAUUUGGCAUCAUGCAUUCCAUACUAAUAGUAAUAGCAUACAUUUUCAGUGCCAGGAAAACCAUACUAAAUCAAUAUUUCAAUGGUCCACAUUCUUCUAAACAACAGAUCUUACCAAGUUCGGUUUCUCUCAGUUGGCACAUGCGACAAAUUACUUCUCACUGGAAAAUAAAAUUGGAUUCGGUGGCUCCAGCUAUGUUUACAAGGUACUGCUUUACAAUUACACCUGCUUUGCUUUUCAUCUCUUUUCAUGUUCCCAAAACAGCUUUUCUCUAGUGCGCAGAUGAAGUAGCAACAUUACUCUGUGUUCAGCUUUUCCAUCCUUUUUCUAACAAAGCUGCAUCAUUACUUGUAAUUGGUGUUUACACUUUUCAGGGCCAGCUAAAAAUGGGACUCGAGGUCGCAGUCAAAAGAGCAUCAUAUGAAGGGAAAAUUCCAUUUAAACACUUUCAAAAUGAAAUUGAGCUAAUUCCAAAGCUUCAGCAUGCAAAUAUAGUUAAGCUUCAAGGAUAUUGUAUCCGAAAGGGAGAAAGGAUCUUGGUAUUUGAGUAUAUGCCAAACGGAAGCUUGGAUUCCUUCAUAUAUGAAGGCAAGUUUCUACUAUCUUUAUAUACUGAUUGGAUUAAAUUAUUAUACAAUUCUCAUGUAUGCAUGUUUGCGAUUUACAUACAGGUGAGAGAGCAAGGGAGUCACUUGAGUGGCCAAAGCGCCGUCAAAUAAUCGAAGGGAUAGCUCAGGGAGCUAAGUAUCUGCAUCAAUUGUGUGAGCCACACAUAAUUCACGGGGAUUUAAAGCCAGGCAAUAUACUCUUGGAUUCUGACUUCAUCCCUAAGAUUUGCGACUUUGGGAUAUCGAAAGCACUAAAGCCGGGUGCAGAUGAGGACUGCACUGGCAUUGUAACAGGCUCACGGUAAAACUUCAUUUUACAUUACAUUACAACAUUUGCUAAUUCUGACGAACGAUUUGGUUUGGUGAUCUUUAUAUUUUUUUCAGGGGGUUCAUUGCACCUGAAUAUAUCAGGCAAGGCUGUUUAUCCAAAAAGUCUGAUGUGUACAGCUUUGGAGUUACCCUUCUUCAGAUCAUUAGCAGGAAGAGGCUCCCUCCACCUCCGCUAGAACUAUCAGCUGAAUCACGUCACUAUGGGCCUCUUAAUAAAUGGGUAAGUGAACGUCUUCGAGUAGAGCGCAAGUUCACAUGAAACAUCUCACAGUAUUCUUAGUUCAUCAUCUAAUCAGUACUAGCUUCUUUCAGGCGUGGGACUUAUGUGCAGCAGGAGAGCUGCUGGAGUUCAUCGAUCCAUCGCUGCAUGACAAGCGUCAAAAUGCCGAGAUAAUGAGAUGGGUUAAGAUAGCACUGCUAUGCGUUCAGGAGGAUCCAGAGAAGCGACCGAGCAUGUCCGAUGUUCUUGAAAUGCUGGGCUCUGAGGACGACAUCCAGAUACAACCCAGCCGACCUGCUUACUACUGAAAAAGAGAUUUCAUAUGCUGGUUAAGCUCAAGCUGAAGAUCAACAAUUUGAGCUGAAACUGGACCGAGCUGAAACAUAAUGUAUGCAUGUAUUCUCUGACGGCUGAUGCUACAGUACCAUAACUUCCAUUAGAAAAAAAAACAUUUAUUGUUCUGCAUUUUGUGGUGUUGCUUCACAUUAGAAAAAAAAACUCUCAAGUUAGUAAUUCUCUAUGAAUGUGCCAGUGGUUUUGUUUUCUAUUAAAACGAGGCAAUCGUUUUCUCAAAUGUGCUACAUUGUUAGUAAUUUGAUAGUUUUAUAGAGGCAAUGCGUCAGUAUUGGCCAUUGCCAGAGGCUUCAGAACAGAGAGAUUCAGGCCCAACUGAGCUUCUUCAUUACUUUUGCAAUUAUAUAGUGAGGCAACCAGCGAAGCGGGUGUGUGCAAGAUUGCUCGAGAUCAAGAUGGCAAUGCCAUUUUCUGUGCCUGACACAUUAUGUCCUCGUGCCCUAGAGCUGAAAUUUCUGCAUGCAUGGGAUGGAUUGUCAUCGGCUUUACCAUGCUCUCAUUUACUACUAGCAGUGAUGGAAACCGAUUGAUUGUCUGCAGGUCAUUGCCUGCUUGAGCUCUCUUCAGCGAUGAGGUACUGAUGACAACGACUCACCCAAUAGCCAGCUAGCUUAUAAAAUUCAGAAACGCUUACCCUGUCCAAUUAUUGCGCACUGCUAAUCACAACACGCCUUGCUCUUGAUAUCGACCAGUUGGUUCAGGUCAACUCGAUCUCGAUCUGUGCUUCCAAUACGUCCCAUCCCAUGUGCAUAUAGCCAUAUAUGCAUCCACCUCCUCUCCCUUCCAGCUGGAUGCUGCUGCUUGUCUUCACUGCAUUUCUUUGCUUGACUGAACGAGCUGGUCGUUGGUAAACCAAAAAAGAUAUCCUAUGAUUAUGUUUGCCAAAACAAAAAUAACCUAGGAUGACCACUCUUUUUCAGGAUCAUUUGAAGUGUUAAUUUGCAUGUAUUAGUCGCAGAAAAUUUUAAUUUCUCACAGUAGAGCUAUUAUAUGUUGUAGUUGUACUGUUGUAGCAUCGCACCAUCAUAUCUGCAGCCAAAAUUAAUCAGGGCCAUUUUUUCAUGCAUGUGCCCUAUGAGACCUGAACUGUGUUCUGCUGAACAUUCACAUCGAUCUGCUUUGUUUUAUCUCAAAACUGUUGUCAAUGUCUGACAGCCUGUCUUAUUAAUAUGUCAUUAGCAAGUGUCUUCACUGAUUCCUUCUUCGACUAACGAGAUAUAUUGUUCGACUAAUAUAGUGUGUGGGUUGAGCAAUCAUGUAUUGACAACCUGUUCAGACCGGAGCAUACUUCGGGGUGCUAGGAGACCAGGCUGGCAGCAUCGCUUCCUCUGUGCCUGCUCAAAGGAGGAAGAGGUGUGAAGCGAAGGCAAUGAUGAAAAUAUGAGAAUACGAGAAUGGUUUGUCCAUAUCUCAUAAGAUCAGCAUCUGAGCCUUUCCUUCACAUAGUCUUGAAGAUUAUUGUUGUUGCAGUCAACCGCACAAGAGCAAGAUGGCUGACAUUGCAUUGGGCAGCGUGGGGAAGAUCGUUGAAAUCGCACUCAAGAUCAAGGAGGCCGUGGAGACGGUUAAGCAGAACGAGGAGGAGUGCUGCGACAUCCAGAGGUGCGUUGCCAGGGUCAGCGCUCUCCUCAGGAAGCUUGACGAGACGACGGAGACGAUGAAGGACGAGGUGAUGCGUGACGCGCUGGAGGAUCUGGCCCAAUCCCUGGAACGCGCACUACGGGAAACCUUAAAUUUGCCGAGUGUUUUCUUUUUGCCGAGUGUUUUUUCUCGGACACUCGGCAAACAAGCUUUUUGCCGAGUGCCAAGCUAAAAACACUCGGCAAAAAAAAAACACUCGGCAAAUCGGGGCUUUGCCGAGUGUCAAAUAAAAAGCACUCGGCAAAGCCCCCUCUUUGCCGAGUGUCAAAAAAAACACUCGGCAAUUUGCCGAGUGUCAAAAAAAACACUCGGCAAAGAGGGGGGUUUGCCUAGUGUUUUUUUUACACUCGGCAAAAAAAUAAUUUUUUUUCCUCUUUUCACCAUGAAAUUUUUUCUACUCCCCACAUACAACAUGUGGUACUCCAUGUUAAAAUUUGGUAUAUUUUUGAAUUUAUUUGCUAUAUUUAUUUAAUUAAUUACAUUUCAAGGGAAUUUUUGGUAUAAGUCAAAUUUGAACUGCAAGUGAUUCAAAUUAUGGAAUAAAAUGAGUCGAAAAAUGAUAUUCAUGUUAUUUGGACCAAUUUGAGACCUGACUCAUGAAAUGAAAAGAAAUUUCGAACAUCUUAUUCAGGAAACACGACCAUGAACGUGUGGCAGUAGUAUUUUUAAAUUGUAAAAAAAACAAUCAAAAUCUGAAAAUUAUGAGAUUUACCAUGAUGUGAUGAUAUAAUANNNNNNNNNNNNNNNNNNNNNNNNNNNNNNNNNNNNNNNNNNNNNNNNNNNNNNNNNNNNNNNNNNNNNNNNNNNNNNNNNNNNNNNNNNNNNNNNNNNNCACUCGGCAAAGUCUUUGCCGAGUGCCGACACAAAACACUCGGCGAACUAGUGUUUGCUGACUCGAUAUUUGCCGUGUGCCGUUUGCCGAGUGUUACACUCGGCAAACGGUUCGCCGAGGGUAUUCUGCACUUCGCCGAGUGCCCCUGGCACUCGGCAAUUUGCCUGUGUCCCGUAGUGGCGCCCUCGAGCUGGUCACGGAGUGCCAGCGGAAGCACAUAUUUCGCCGCUUAGUGGGAGAGCUCUUUUACGGUACACUACUUAGUAGUAUAUAUAAUAUCUAAAUGUUCAUGAUUAUGGAUGAUUUAGUAAUUAUUACAUGUGAAAAGUGAUAUUUCAAACGGAAUGGCCUUUUAAACUUUACGCUAGUGUCAAAAAUAAAAUUUUAGUGAUGUUAUUUGUGUUCUUUUACCAUGAUACCCUUAUACUACCUAUACUACUCAUGUAUACCACCCAUACCACAGGUGUAGGUUUCAGUAGUAUACAAUUAAUCUUGACCGUCGGAUGUUUAUAUACUAGUCCUUUUUAGCACUAGUAUAGCCUAGCAAGGGACAUGGCCAAGGAGCUGGGCUGGGUCCAGGAUGAUAUAGUGAGGAAACUGCAGCUGGGGAACUUCGCCACCAAUGUCCAGACCACCAUCAUGGUGACAAACAUCCAAUCUGCUGGUGGUCCUCCUCCUCCUCCUCCUCCUCCACCCCACCCCAACGGCGAGUGGUUAUUGAUGGUAAGGAAAAGCUAUCAAAGUAUCAAUACCGUCUAUUGCAUCUUGGGUCCUUGUGCAUCAUUGGUUCAAAGUAUAGUGUUUUAUUGCAACUCUGUGUAUCAAAGUGACGUUGCUCCAACAGUUUUCUUAGAUCUCAAAGUAUAGUGUUUUAUUGCAACUCUGUGCAUCAUUGGUUCAAGUAGCAUAGUGUUUUAUUGCAACUGUACUAGAUCUCAAAGUGAUGUUGCUCCAACUGCUCCUACAGCUUCAUGCAUGCAUGUUUAGGUAUUAAUAUAAUCUAAGGGCCUGUUUGGCAACAAGGUGUUAAAGUUUAACACCCGUCACAUCGGAUGUUUGGAUGCUAAUUAGGAGUAUUAAAUAUAGGCUAAUUACAAAACUAAGUGCACAGAUGGAGUCUAAUUCACGAGACAAAUCUAUUAAGUCUAAUUAGUCCAUGAUUUGACAAUGUGGUGCUACAGUAACCAUUUGCUAAUAAUGGAUUAAUUAGGCUUAAUAAAUUCAUCUCGCGAAUUAGCACAGGGUUCUACAAUUAGUUUUAUAAUUAGCUCAUGUUUAGUUCUCCUAAUUAGCAUCCGAACAUCGGAUGUGACACUGUUAAAGUUUAACACCUCGUAUCCAAACACCCCUUAAUUCAAGCCCUGUUCCUGUGUGGCUUAAUUUUUAUACAAUGUAGGCUUCACAAUGUUCAGUUUAUCUGAAUUGAAGGCCGCUACAGAGAACUUUUCGGACGGAAACAAGAUUGGAAUGGGCGGCUUUGGUGGUGUUUACAAGGUACUCCGAUCCGUUACUUUCUUGGUUUGUUGAUUCUAGGUUUGUGUACUUUUCCAUAUAAUCACGUAGGCAUCACUAGCUAGUUGAAUAUCAGGCAGAGAUAGGUUAAGACUAUUUUUCUUCGUGUAACAAGUAAUUUCAAAUUUAAAUUUAUACUAAAUGUUACCAAUUUGCUGUCCCAAAGGGCAGGGAAUAAACUAAUUGGUAUUAGUCUGUGCUCAAACCCGCAAUCACGCCUAAAGCUAACCCUUGGCUGUUGUGUCCUCCGAUACCUCCUAUAAGUCCUCCUUUGUGGCAUUUUAGCUCAUGGCAAGAAGCCACGAAAACUCCUCUCAACUGUACUCUACAUUAGACAGGGAGUUUAGGGAAAGUGUCUUUCGUGCAACUCUAGAUCUAGCAUUUUCAUUGGUGGUUCCUUUUGAAAAUUGCCAUCUGUAGUGAGCCUGGUUUCUACGGUCCUCGAAGUUAGUUUUCACGUCACUCGUUUCUCUAGGGCAACUCCCAAUUGAAAGCAUCUCAAACCUCAAAGCACACACGUGUGGUGGUGCCCAUGCUUCAUUCCAGCCCAAAGACCAAAGUGAGCCAAAGAUGAAACUUGAUGGACUUUGAUGAAGAUUUUGAAGCCUGAGGCCAGGGCGCCAUUGAACUUUUGGCGAAACUUUAAUGCUAAGAUCAGCAGUUCUGCUUUUUCCCUUCUGUUCUGUUAAAAACAGAAAUCCACCAUCUGACAUGGUGUUUAUACUUCUCAGGGUGUCCUGCAGGACGGACGGCUAUACGAUGGAAUUAAUGUUUUUGUAGAUCUGAAGCACAAAAACAUAACUAGACCUCUGGGAUAUUGCCACGAAGUGAUAAUGGUCUUGAUCAGCCAUACUGGAAAAUAUGCUAGAGAUCAAAAAAGACAAUUUUGUUUUGUAGAAGAAUAAAUGGAAAACGGAAGUAUGGAGGACAUUAUCUGGGGUAUGUUGUUCUGUACAAGUACUGGUUAUAGUUCACCUCUGGACCAAGCAUCCCUUAACUUUGAUGUAACUGAUCAAUAGUUGCUUCUCGUUGCAUGAUAUGUGAUCUCUGCAGGGUCUCGAUUUAUUGGUUGGUCCUGCCGCUUCAAAAUGAUUGAGAGGAUAGUCCAGGGGCUACAUUACCUACAUGAGCAACGUGUCGUCCAUAUGGAUCUGAAACCAGAGAACAUCCUCUUCGAUUCUGAUAUGAAUCCUCGGAUCAGUGAUUUUGGCAUAGCUAGAAAGUUGGACCUUGGUGUUGAAAAAACCUUCGACAGCAGCAUAGGUGGCACAAUGUAAGACGUUGCUCCAAUAUAUAAAUACUAUUUCCAUUACCUGAUUAACUAUAUAUCGUGAGACCAUACGUGCAUUACAUGGCUCCAGAAUACAAGUACAAAGGAUGUGUGCCAACGAAGUGCGAUGUGUAUUCUUUUGGCAACACCCUCCUUGGGACCAUUAUUGGCAGUAUGAUCAUAUCUACGCCCCCUAAUAUAAGCGAAUUAAUUCAAUGGGUAAGUACCUCGUAAUAACGCUUUUUUAUAUUACAAAAGCAGUUGGGACUAAGGUCCUAUUUAGAUCCAUCAGUUAAAUUUUAGCUGACUAUCAGAUGUUAUGAUCCAAACAUGAUCCAGCUAAAGUUUAGGUAGGUAAAGAUUCUUUUAGCUAAUUGAACCCAGCUAAACUAGUUAAAGAUAAAAUUGUGCCUCGACCUUCCUUGGAAAAAGUUUCUAAAAUGGGAGGGAAGCGUAGGAUAAGUAACUACCACUUCAACUAUCAUUUAGCUAGUGGAUCCAACACUUCUAGCUAAAGAAUAUUCCUAAAGUUUAUCUAAAAGAAUAUUCCUAAAUCUUUGCUUGCUAAAAUUUAGUUGGGUGGAUCCAAACAUGACCUAAUUUAUGUUCUUACUUUCCAGGCUUUCGAAGCUCGGGACAAUAUACGGAUGGAGUUGUUUAAAUCGUCAUUGUGUUGCAAGUCUCAGCUAAUGCAGAUCAAGAAGUGCAUGGAGAUUGGGCUCCUGUGUGUUGAGCAAGACAGGGAACAUAGGCCCACCAUGACGGAUGCUCUUGCGACGCUAAAUGGUGUGAAAGAGUUGCCGGCUCUAAAGCGGCGGCCAUAUCCAUAUAGAAACUUCGAGUAGGGCCGAAGCGGCCCUGCAACCUUAUUUGUCCGAAUUGCUUGUGCCUCUGAUUAUCCCUAAACGUGUGCCUCUGGUGACGUGGCUUGACUGCUUGAAUUACUUUUUUCUCCCCUUCUCACGUGUAUUGAAAAAGAAGGCCGGCAGCGUAACACGUCCUUGUCUCGAAUUUGUCCUUGUCUCGAAUUUGUAUGGUCAGGCCAUUCUUUAAGAAUGUGAGAUUUCAUAUUUAUAUUUUCAAGAAUAACAUAUAGUUAAAUUAAGUAAGAGUGCAUUUAGUUCACAGAUAAAUAGCUCAUACAAUGCAUUAUUUCAUCUUUUGAUAUGUUUAAGACUACAUGCAUUACUUUGUCACUAACUUAUACAUUCCUCCUUUCAUGGAUUCAUAACCCCCCUCCUCAAAAGAAAAAAGAAAGAAAAAAAAAAGAAUUCCAUUGUAUCCUUAAGCUCACAACGACGACUACGAUUGAUAAAUGGGAAGAAAAUGGGUUUGCAACGCUGAAAGAUCCAUGUUUUAAAAAUUUGUCAUCAAAACACCUUGGUACGCAGAGAAAGAUUUUGCAACUUGAAUUUUACAACUCCUUCCAAUUAAGACAUUAACUUUAUAAUUGUUGACAUCCCCCCUCCCCUCUUAUAGCCCACCCGUGAGGCAUCCGUCGCACCGGGGCGGAGGUAGAAUGAAAUAAUUAGGGGGCCAUUUGCAGUAUCUUAAGCAGAAUAUUUAGCUUAUUUAUGUUGACAAGGUUAUUUACAUGUGGAGUUUCAUCAAAUACUAAGUCAACUGCCCUCGCCCAUCACCUCUAGAUUCAUUGAAUGGACAAUUGAGUCUAUGUUCUAACCUGGAUUAUUGGUUCCUUACGAUGAAGGCGGCAUGCUGCAUGCCAUAAUAAAUUGUUUAACAAUGAAAUACAGAUUGGGUGACUUGCUCUGCCGCGUACUAGAAAAAUGCAUCCUUCCACUACUAGAGAAAACGCCACUACUAUCGGUUGGGAACCCCCUCUAGUACCGGUUGUGCAACCAGUACUAGCAAUCCAGUACUAGAGAGGAUCCUUUAGUAUCGGUUAAAAUAACCGGUACUAUAGGGUAUUAAAAAAUUAAAAAAAAAGAAAUCCCCCUAGCCCCGCCCUCCGCCCGCCACUGGCCUCCGCCGGCCCGGGCCUCCCGUCACCACUGACCCCCGCUGGCCUCGGCCUCCCCCCGCCACCGGCUCCGGCCUCCCGCGGCCCUCUGCCCUACCGCCCUCCUCCCACCUCCGCCCCUUCACCUCAACCCAGCCCCGCCACCCCGUCCGCUUCCGCCUCCAACCAGCCCUGCCGCCCCGCCUCCGCACCUCCGCCUCCACCC